GCCAGGGAGGUCUAAUGGUUUGAGCGUUGGACUAUGACUCUGAAAACCAGGGUUCAAAUCCUGGCUUGGCC